GACCGAUAGUGAACCAGUACCGUGAGGGAAAGGCGAAAAGAACCCCGGCGAGGGGAGUGAAAAAGAACCUGAAACCGUGUACGUACAAGCAGUGGGAGCACCCUUUGGGGUGUGACUGCGUACCUUUUGUAUAAUGGGUCAGCGACUUAUAUUCUGUAGCAAGGUUAACCGAAUAGGGGAGCCGGAGGGAAACCGAGUCUUAAUUGGGCGUUAAGUUGCAGGGUAUAGACCCGAAACCCGGUGAUCUAGCCAUGGGCAGGUUGAAGGUUGGGUAACACUAACUGGAGGACCGAACCGACUAAUGUUGAAAAAUUAGCGGAUGACCUGUGGCUGGGGGUGAAAGGCCAAUCAAACCGGGAGAUAGCUGGUUCUCCCCGAAAGCUAUUUAGGUAGCGCCUCGUGAAUUCAUCUCCGGGGGUAGAGCACUGUUUCGGCUAGGGGGCCAUCCCGGCUUACCAACCCGAUGCAAACUGCGAAUACCGGAGAAUGUUAUCACGGGAGACACACGGCGGGUGCUAACGUCCGUCGUGAAGAGGGAAACAACCCAGACCGCCAGCUAAGGUCCCAAAGUCAUGGUUAAGUGGGAAACGAUGUGGGAAGGCCCAGACAGCCAGGAUGUUGGCUUAGAAGCAGCCAUCAUUUAAAGAAAGCGUAAUAGCUCACUGGUCGAGUCGGCCUGCGCGGAAGAUGUAACGGGGCUAAACCAU
rnacentral:rRNA from 1 species